AAGUCGUAACAAGGUUUCCGUAGGUGAACCUGCGGAAGGAUCAUUAACACGUAUCCAAACGUUAAACCCCCCUGAACCUUCAGUCGUACUCGUACGUCCGUUAGAAAAAGCAGCAAUCCCUGGUAAAUCAUCGCCGAACCGUCGGCCGUGUGGGCCUCCAACGAUCGUGACUCAUCCUUACACAUGUUAGUGACACUUUCAGACACUAACGCUAGUGACACAUUCAGACACUAACUGCUUGGGGAUGCCAGGCCACUUACACGCACAACAUGCACGCUCCUUGCAGACGUCCCUGAAUCGAAACCUACCGUCACCGGGCGCAAGCCCCCUUAUCACACCCCUGCUCUAUCUAUGGUGAUCCUGCGGGAAGUCCUGUUCUC
rnacentral:misc_RNA from 1 species